AUGGAGGUAUACGGCUUCAGCGACUCCUUCAGUGGGGUGGACUCCGUGCAGGAGCUGGCCCCGCCGCCCGCCCUACCCCCCAAGCAGCGGCAGCUAGUGAAAACGCCAGUGAGGAAGCUGGUGAGGGUGAAUAUGUCAAUCUGUAUUCCUCUGGCCAGAGCAGCGAGGAGCUGGCUCCCUCUCGAGGGAGCCACCGGCUGGGAAAGACGGACAUCCCAGAGAUCCCUCAGCGGUCAGCGGCGUCCCUGGGAAGGACAGCAGAGACGGCAGUGAGAGGCCCCAAAGUCACCAGAUGCUCUGGAGUCGGC
rnacentral:lncRNA from 1 species